UAGGCGAAUCUGGAUUGGGAAAGUUGACAUUAAUCAACUCAUUAUUCCUCCCAGAUUUGUAUUCUCCAGAGUAUCCGGGUCCUUCUCAGAGAAUUAAAAAGCCUGUACAGUUUUAAUCAAAGAAGGUGGUGUUCAGUUGCUGCUUACAAUAGUUGAUACCCCAGGAUUUGGAGAUGCAGUGGAUAACACUGGCAGCCUGUUAUCAAUUACAUUGAUAUUAAAUUUGAGGACUACCUAAAUGCAGAAUCGCGAGUGAACAGAUGUCAGAUGCCUGGUAACAGGGUGCAGUGUUGUUUAUACUUCAUUGCUCCUUCAGGACAUGGGUCAGUAACCUGA
rnacentral:lncRNA from 1 species